GCUGAACGUGAGUUUUGCUUGAGGCCGUGACACUGGAGAUUGUUUAUGAUAUGCUUUGUAGAUCGUUUCUGAUCGUUUCUGAAUUGUAGUCGAGGUCGGUCCUGUGGAGAUUGUUUCUGAUACGUGCCGGAGGCUUUUUUCCCUGGGCUGCCGUGUAUUAAGGGCUUUUAAGUGGGCUGUUGUAAUUUCUAA